rnacentral:rRNA from 1 species
CGCGCAGGCGGUCGUUCAAGUCGAGUGUGAAAGCCCCCGGCUCAACUGGGGAGGGUCAUUCGAUACUGAUCGACUGGAAGGCAGGAGAGGGAAGCGGAAUUCCCGGUGUAGUGGUGAAAUGCGUAGAUAUCGGGAGGAACACCAGUGGCGAAGGCGGCUUCCUGGCCUGUUCUUGACGCUGAGGCGCGAAAGCUAGGGGAGCAAACG